UACGUAGGGUGCGAGCGUUAAUCGGAAUUACUGGGCGUAAAGCGUGCGUAGGCGGUUCGUUAAGUUCGUUGUGAAAGCCCCGGGCUCAACCUGGGAACUGCAAUGGAAACUGGCGGGCUUGAGUGUGGCAGAGGGGGGUGGAAUUCCGCGUGUAGCAGUGAAAUGCGUAGAGAUGCGGAGGAACACCGAUGGCGAAGGCAGCCCCCCUGGGCUAAGACUGACGCUGAGGCACGAAAGCGUGGGGAGCAAACAGG
rnacentral:rRNA from 1 species